CUUGUACUCCCUCCAUCCGAAAAUACUUAUCAUUGAAAUGGAUGUAUCUAGAUGUAUUUUAGUUCUAGACACAUCCAUUUUGAUGACAAGUAAUUCCGGACGGAGGGAGUACUUG
rnacentral:pre_miRNA from 1 species